rnacentral:rRNA from 1 species
GUCUACGGCCAUACCACCCUGAACGCGCCCGAUCUCGUCUGAUCUCGGAAGCUAAGCAGGGUCGGGCCUGGUUAGUACUUGGAUGGGAGCCCAGGAAACACUAAACU